rnacentral:rRNA from 1 species
AUUGAACGCUGGCGGCAGGCUUAACACAUGCAAGUCGAACGAGUGGCGGACGGGUGAGUAAUGCUUGGGAAUCUGGCUUAUGGAGGGGGAUAACGACGGGAAACUGUCGCUAAUACCGCGUACCAUAGGAUGAGCCCACGUGGGAUUAGGUAGUUUGUGGGGUAAUGGACUACUAAGCCGACGAUCUCUAGCUGGUCUGAGAGGAUGACCAGCCACACCGGGACAGCGACACGGCCCGGACUCUGAAGUGAGGCAGCAGGUGGGAAUAUUGCGCGAUGGGGGCAAUCUGACGCAGCCAUGCCGCGUGAAGGAAGAAGGCCUUCGGGUUGUAAAGUGCUUUCGGUGACGAGGCGUUAAUCACAGAAGAAGCACCGGCGAACUCCGUGCCAGCAGCCGCGGUAAUAC